CCUACGAGUGACAGCAGUGGGGAAUAUUGCACAAUGGGGGAAACCCUGAUGCAGCGACGCCGCGUGCGUGAAGAAGUAUUUCGGUACGUAAAGCUCUAUCAGCAGGGAAGAAAAUGACGGUACCUGACUAAUAACCCCCGGCUAACUACGUACCAGCAGCCGCGGUCAUACGUAGGUGGCACGCGUUAUCCGGAUUUACUGGUGUUAAAGUGAGCGUAGACGGCAGCGCAAGUCUGGAGGGAAAGCCCAUGGCUUAACCAUGGAAGUGCUUUGGAAACUGUGCAGCUAGAGUGCAGGAGAGGUAAGCGGAAUUCCUAGGGUAGCGGUGAAAUGCGUAGAUAUUAGGAGGAACACCAGUGGCGAAGGCGGCUUACUGGACUGUAACUGACGUUGAGGCUCGAAAGCGUGGGGAGCAAACAGGAUUAGAUACCCCUGUAGUC
rnacentral:rRNA from 1 species